UACGGGGGGUGCGAGCGUUGUCCGGAAUUAUUGGGCGUAAAGAGCUCGUAGGCGGUUUGUCGCGUCUGGUGUGAAAACUCAAGGCUCAACCUUGAGCUUGCAUCGGGUACGGGCAGACUAGAGUGUGGUAGGGGUGACUGGAAUUCCUGGUGUAGCGGUGGAAUGCGCAGAUAUCAGGAGGAACACCGAUGGCGAAGGCAGGUCACUGGGCCACUACUGACGCUGAGGAGCGAAAGCAUGGGGAGCGAACAGG
rnacentral:rRNA from 1 species